UGAAGAUGCUGGAACAGAUGGACAACCAAGUGAUUACAUUAAUGUCACAUCUCCAUCUGAUCUUGGCGAGCAGAACCUUCCCCCACUCUCCACCCUCUUUAAAAUUUUUUUUAAGUGCUGACUUGUCAUGGCACAGUUUGAUAGACAAGAAGAGGAAACAGACGUUGUUCCUUUCCCCGCAGAGAUGGUUGGUGGUCGGCUUCGUUGCCUGAUAAGCGUCUUUAAAUGCAGUGCUGUGCUGUUUCUUGGGGUCUGCCUUCAAGAUGUGGAGGCUUCUAGCUGUGUCAUCCAUAGUGUCAUCCAUAAAAAAGUUGGAGACACCGUGGUGCUUUCAUCAUGCUUACCAAGUGAAGGGGUCACCGUGGCAAGAUGGAGAUACAGAGGGUCAAUAAUUGCAGAAAAAGGCACGGUUGUUCCUGAAAAAGAGCAGUUCAAGGGCAGAUUAGAACAAAACGCCACAGACUUUAGUUUAACACUGAGAAGCCUGACUCUUAACGAUUCUGGUGAUUUCAGUUUAAACUCAGAGGCAAAUGACAAACAACAGGACACCGUCACCAUCAAGCUGCAAGUUCAUGUAGAGCCCAUAACUGAACAGCCUGUCCUGACUGCCAAUUCCACCUGGAACAGCUCGACUAACUCAUGCACAGUUUUACUGGAGUGCAGUGCAACCUCUGACAGCAGUGUGACCUACAACUGGACUGUGAGGAACCAAAUAAUAAGUGGCUCCAGGCUCCAAUACGUCAUCAGGCAACAGGACCGAGACACAAAUUUCACCUGCACAGUUUACAAUUUUCUCAGUGAGAAGUCAGCAACCACAACAGUGGAGUGCAGAAACGACACACAAAUAAGAAACAUACCAGAGGCAGUAGACUUUGUCGUUCUCCUGAGUUUGGCAGCAGGAGGUUGUUUGAUGAUUGUCAUUGUAGUUGGAAUAGUGGUGGUUGUAUGUCACAGCAAACAAAGACGAGCAGGCAGCGACUCAAAUGACCUCACCGUGUACGCUGAUGUCACUGAAAUUUCAACUGAAGAUGGGACCAUGAAGCCAUGCUCAGUGUAUGAAACCAUUGACAACAGAGUCUAUCCAGAAAAACAAGCGCCCCAGACUGUGUAUGACAAGAUCCAGCUUAAUCGCGUGAGGCAGCCCCCCACGUCGCACUACCAAGAUGUUUCCUAGAGGGCCAUAGCCUGAUGUAUAGCUUGAAUUACUCAAAGCAACAUUUGCAAAAGGGUCGCGGGGGGCUGAGCCAGUCCCAGCUGACAUCGGGCGAAAGGCGGGUACACCGUGGACAGGUCGCCAGUCCAUCGCAGGGCUCCUCUUAUUAUAUUGCUUAUAAACAAUAUAAUAUGUUGCCAUUAUAUAGGGAGUGCCUAAUGCCCCAGUUGUAUUAAUAGUGUAAAUUCUGUAAAUACAAAUAAUAUAUUGUUUAAAUGUUUUAUGUGUUUUGUAUGUCUUCUAAUGUAAGAACUGUACUUUGUAAGUCAUUUGUGAAUAUCAGUGAUGGAAGAAGUAUUCAGAUCCUUUAUUUAUAUAAUGUUUAAUCUACAACAGUGCAUCAUAUUCUAUCACAUCAUCACAUGUUUGUUACCAUUUCCAGCUGAUGCCAGUUUGUUUAAUAGUAUAUUUAUCUUAGGAAAGAUGAGAAUUUUCUCAACACAUAAAAACACAGAAAUAUUCACAUUUAAAAUAACCAAGUAUGAGGCACAUGUUUUUUUACUGAACAUGAAGGUCAUGAAAAAUUGUAAUCUGAAAAAUAACUAGUAACUAAAGCUGUCAGACAAAUACAGAGGAGCAGAAGUAUAAAGUUGCAACAACAAAAAAAGGAAAUCAAAGUACUUGAAUUCAUCCUUAAAGGCAGUUUUAACUGACGUUAAUAGUUGGAAGUAAUCAAUUACCGUGGCAACCAGAUAGCAGUUCUCGGUAUGUGUCAAGGUCUCCUGCUCUGUUGAACUGUGUGAUUUUGUCUCUGGUAUAAAAUAAUAUACUUGAUCUUCUACAUGUAAAGUUGACCUUUGGUAUAAAGAUAAAUACUAAACUAUUUAAACAUA